rnacentral:rRNA from 1 species
AUUGAACGCUGGCGGCAGGCCUAACACAUGCAAGUCGAGCGGAUGAAGGGAGCUUGCUCCUGGAUUCAGCGGCGGACGGGCGAGUAAUGCCUAGGAAUCUGCCUGGUAGUGGGGGAUAACGUCCGGAAACGGGCGCUAAUACCGCAUACGUCCUGAGGGAGAAAGUGGGGGAUCUUCGGACCUCACGCUAUCAGCUGAGCCUAGGUCGGAUUAGCUAGUUGGUGGGGUAAAGGCCUACCAAGGCGACGAUCCGUAACUGGUCUGAGAGGAUGAUCAGUCACACUGGAACUGAGACACGGUCCAGACUCCUACGGGAGGCAGCAGUGGGGAAUAUUGGGCAAAAGGCGAAAGCCUGAUCCAGCCAUGCCGCGUGUGUGAAGAAGGUCUUCGGAUUGUAAAGCACUUUAAGUUGGGAGGAAGGUCAGUGAGUGAAUACCUUGCUGUCUUGACGUUACCAACAGAGUAAGCCACGGCUAACUUCGUG